rnacentral:tRNA from 1 species
CGGGAUGUAGCGUAGUUUGGUAGCGCAUCUGCUUUGGGAGCAGAAUGUCACAGGUUCAAAUCCUGUCAUCCCGA